GAGGGUAGAGCUCAGUGGUAGAGUGCGUGCUUAGCAUGCACAAGGUCCUGGGUUCAAUCCCCAGUACCUCCA
rnacentral:tRNA from 1 species